rnacentral:misc_RNA from 1 species
GCCAUCUGUAUUUGUGCUAUGACUGAACCAAUAAAAUAUAAUUGUUUCAUUUCUAUAGUCAGUUCUUUUUUGUUCUAAGUCUCAAAUACCAGGUGCAAUUAGUUGCGUAAUAACUGUUGUCAAAACUUUGAAGUGCAAGCUUGAAUUCUCUGGUAGUUGCAAAGGAGGCAAUAUAGUUUCUGAUCAUUGGAAUUUCCAUAGGGUUCUUUGUCUCGUGAACAAGUCAUUGAUAUAAAUGUGAUCAUCAUAUUCAAUAAACCUGAUUUUCCUUCAGUAACUCCCGGUUAUGAUAAACAAUGAUUAGUUUGACUUUGCUGAAUGCUGCUUAUCUGAAACAUUUCUAGCCCAUUGAUAUAAAUCUAUUUGCUAAGUGUAUCCGUACCUUAAUAUUGUGAAGUUUGCCCAAAGCACUGAUUAAUUAAUAAAAUGAAGUCUUGCAACUUGCAUGAUGGUUAAAUUCACAUAACCCUGAUUUUUUUUCCCCAAUACUGGUGAUAAUUUUGUAAACUGUUAGUUGAGUAGAUA